ACUUAAAUAGUUUAAAUUAAAAUAUUAAUUUGUGGAAUUAAAGAUACAAUUUUUUGUUUUAGGUA
rnacentral:tRNA from 1 species